rnacentral:misc_RNA from 1 species
GAUGACAAAAAAUGUUUCAUUGUAGUGUGCGCUGAGCUGGACGCCUGCUGAGAAAUCGAACAUAUCGCAAAUCACUCCACUCUGAGGGCUGCCGAGUGCGCGUGAGGUGCUGCACUGUGGAUGGUGGGGGAGGGGGGAUGGGCGCGGGAGCUGUGGUGGCAUGUCUACUUCGGCCCUGCAGUGCCGACGGCCGGCGCGCACUGCUUGCCCUGCUCGUGUGGCGCUGUUAUAAUCCCGUGCCGCGCAUCUGAUCUGUGAGCGGGACGAUUCAUGCACAGCGAAGAUGCGAGGGGCGCCGCCGGCCCUGUGUUGCGCGUACGCUGGAUGCACCGUGCUGUCAUGAUUUCAACAAUGCAAUGUAUCUCCGUUACCGGACACGGUCGCCGACGACAACCAUUGAUUCAAAUAACCAAGAGCUGCUAUGAGUCUGUGUGUGCGCAGUGCGCUGCAGCGUGUUUGCCCCUUGCUCCUCCCUGGUCCUCCCUACUGCCCCUUCCUCCUCCCCCACACCCUACUCGCGCUUGUGUGUGCGCCGGCCCAUCCGCAGGAUGACAAAAAAUGUUUCAUUGUAGUGUGCGCUGAGCUGGACGCCUGCUGAGAAAUCGAACAUAUCGCAAAUCACUCCACUCUGAGGGCUGCCGAGUGCGCGUGAGGUGCUGCACUGUGGAUGGUGGGGGGAGGGGGGAUGGGCGCGGGAGCUGUGGUGGCAUGUCUACUUCGGCCCUGCAGUGCCGACGGCCGGCGCGCACUGCUUGCCCUGCUCGUGUGGCGCUGUUAUAAUCCCGUGCCGCGCAUCUGAUCUGUGAGCGGGACGAUUCAUGCACAGCGAAGAUGCGAGGGGCGCCGCCGGCCCUGUGUUGCGCGUACGCUGGAUGCACCGUGCUGUCAUGAUUUCAACAAUGCAAUGUAUCUCCGUUACCGGACACGGUCGCCGACGACAACCAUUGAUUCAAAUAACCAAGAUCUGCUAUGAGUCUGUGUGUGCGCAGUGCGCUGCAGCGUGUUUGCCCCUUGCUCCUCCCUGGUCCUCCCUACUGCCCCUUCCUCCUCCCCCACACCCUACUCGCGCUUGUGUGUGCGCCGGCCCAUCCGCAG